AUAGCCGAUGAUGUGAUUCGAGGAAACUGACCAAAACGCCAAUCAGUCCUUUUGUCUCCAUCAACACUACACAUACAGAAACACCAACCCACCACCAGAUUCACCCUCCUUCUCUCUCUUUCUCUCUCUCUCUCUCUUUCUCCUUCCUCCGCUCUUGAGAGUUAGCAAGUCCUUUCUCUGUUUAUCGCUUCAAAAAGUCCAUCUCUAGCCCUUUUUUUCCUUCCAUCUUUUCUUGUUUUUCUCUCUCCGUACAGCAGCGCGUGAGAUCGGAGGUCGGACCAGCAUGGGGAGAGGGAAGAUAGUGAUUAGGAGGAUCGAUAAUUCGACGAGCAGGCAAGUGACGUUUUCCAAGAGGAGGAAUGGGUUGCUGAAGAAGGCUAAGGAGUUGGCGAUCCUGUGCGACGCGGAGGUUGGAGUCGUCAUCUUCUCCAGUACUGGCAAGCUCUAUGAUUUCUCUAGCUCCAGCAUGAAGUCAGUGAUUGAACGAUAUAACAAAGUGAAAGAGGAGCAUCACCAAUUGGCCAAUCCGAGUUCUGAAGUCAAGUUUUGGCAGAGGGAAGUGGCAAUGCUCAGGCAACAACUGCAGAACUUGCAAGAGAAUCAUCGGCAAAUGAGGGGCGAAGAGCUUUCUGGUUUGAGUGUCAAAGAUCUACAGAACUUGGAGAACCAACUUGAAAUGAGCCUUCGAGGUGUCCGUAUGAGAAAGGACCAAGUGCUUAUUGACGAGAUACAAGAACUAAACCGGAAGGGUAGCCUCAUCCAUCAAGAAAAUGUUGAACUGUAUAAGAAGGUAAACCUAAUUCGUGAAGAAAAUCAAGAAUUGUACAAGAAGGUUUAUGGAACCAAGGAGGCGAAUGGAACUAACAAAACUGCACUUCUGACAAACAAUUUAAGCAUUCGAGAAGACCCUGAUGGUCCUGUACAUCUCCAGCUUAGCCAGCCACAACAAAACUAUGAGACGGCAACAGGGGCAUCAAAACUGGGCAGAUUGCAACUCCAUUAGUAUGAAGAAAAUGCUGAGCUGAUUGCUUGUUGAUGAAGAUCCACCAUGCAUACAACACAAUGUUCAAUUCGUAAGGAGUGGUGCAAAAACCACAUAUUACUCAGAAAAAGUCUUCAAUUUCAUUGAAAGGAUCUUGACAUAUCCGAGGUAUCCACUUGAGUAAGAUGCACCCUGGCGACAAGAAAUGCCAUGAAAAGUAGAAAGUACAGGAUGAAGCAAGUCAAAGAAUUUGAUGGACCAAACAGUCAAUGAAAAAGUGACAAUAGUACACGCAAUAAGGUAAUAUUAGAGAGUAAGUUAAAUGUUAAGAUUUUCGAAUAAAUUCUGCAGUAUAGCAUGGCUAACGUUUCAGCACACAAGAAACUACUAUUACACAUCUUCAGAUCCCUGCAAAACAAUCUACUGCAAACCUGUACCAACUCAUUUGCAGGCUGGUCAAAUCUCAUGAACAAAAAGAUUGGCAUACAUGCAACAAACCUAAAGAAUAAUUUUGUUAAAGGGCAAGGCAUACACAAAUGUCCACAACCCAUUAUUGUCUCGAUAUACUGCAAUAUGCAACCAAACAUGCUCAGACCACACCUAUGGAAAAAGAGGAUAGGAAUACUGCUUGACCAUAUUUCUAAUUCCAACAGGCGCUAUUCAUUAAUUGGGAAUGGAUAAGGUGCAAUAUUUAAUACAGCUCUUGUGCUAAAAGUGAUUUUAAAAACCUAAAGGUCAAAGUUGACACCAUUUCAAGAAAACGCAUUUAAAGAACAAAAAUCACUGCAAUAAGGAAUCCAUCCUCAAUCAAUCUUGGAGAAUGUACUUAUUUCCUGUUGUAUCAGCAGGUAACUCAUUGCGAAACAAAUCACGGCCAACCACAGUCUCAAGAACCCAUCAUGCAUUAAUAUAAGUCAUUGAAACCACAACAUAAGAAACCUUCAUUUAUUCAACGCACAUUACAGUUCCUAGAACUACAAAACAUCUCUCUUAUGCAUAAAGAAUAGCAGACUGAUAGUAGUAGGAAAUUCAUAAUGGCUAUUUAACACUAGGAAAAGAAAGGAAAAUUGCUAGAUCUAUUUACCAAUUUCUAUAUGUAGAUUUUCAUCACAUGAAUCGCGUUAACAUCCUGGAAGAGAAGUUGAUUGAAGCAUCUAAGGAAGAAUUAAGGUUUUCAUGGGAUUAAUCCUUUAUACACUGAUAGUGUAUACACUAUCAAGCCUGGAUGCAUGACAACUAACUUUAAUUUGAAUUUAAAACCCCAAGUUUUGCACACGUGGCAUGCAUCCAAGUCCAAUAGUGUAUAAACUAUCAGCAUAUAGAAGAUUAAUCCAUUUUCAAGGCGAAGUACUAGAAAUGGACUACUAGCUAAAAAGAGGCUCCAUUUCUGAAAUUGUUUUUGGUUGGCUUCAAAACAAUCAUGAUGGAAAGCCUCUUUUAGAAACUUUAAUUACUACUACAGCCGUAUUUAGCAAUUGAUCAACAGCAACAUAAACAACAGUGAAAGAUUAGCAGGUUAUCUUCAUGAACUGAAAGAACUUCAAUAAGCUUACACUUACCAGUAUGCAUAGUUUUUAGCAAUAGUAGUCUUCAAAAUAAGAAGAUUCUAUGCUAUAACUAAUGAUCUAAUAUUCAAAUGAAAACAAUUAGUUCACAUUAAAGUACAUUGUUACUGUUAAAGUGCCAGUAGCACAAACAUAAAGUUGGCAUCAUUCCUAAGCCCAAUGCAUCUACGGUUGCUAUGCACCAAAUGUAUAGAACUACUCUACUAUAUCAAUGCAAUUUAUCAGUCUUGAUCUCACAGUAAGUAUCAUCUUUUUUUAAUUUUUCUUUCAGUCAACAAUAGCAUGUUUAAUCAUGCAGAACCAAUAUCACUAAACCCUUGAUCAACAUGUUCACCCCUGUGAAACACACAAAUUCCAUUGCCUUUUAGGACUCAUGAGGAAAAUAAUACAUCUAAAGUCAUCUCUUUUUCUCAUUUUCCAUAAAAUAUUCUCAUGUGCAAGCAAAAGGCCGUCUUAAGACAUGCCUUGCUGCCAAUUACAUGGCUAUAUAUUUCCUUCGUGUCAUUUCCUUCUGCAAGAUUCAAUUGGUAAAGAAAUACUUUUUCGGGAACAUUGAGAACACACAAACUACUUUGAUGUUUAGAGUAAACCUCACGUGUAUAGAAGUCAGAACGAAGUUAAAUCCACAUAAUUAAACGAUCAUAUAUUUGUUGAAUCUCAAACACAACUGCAGAUUUUUUCCCCUUCCUAAGAAUAAAAGAGACAGAGAAAUGAGAAGGUCAAACAGAAAACUGAAGGCAGUGAAACCCAGAAAAGGAAGGAGACACAAGUGAAACACUAUGAAAUCCAAAGCUCGGUUCACUAAUAGUAUGUGCUAAAGUCAUUUCAUGGACCUCUGAGCUUUUGCAAUAUAUUCAAGAGAAAAAUCUACACACUAAUAUUGAGCAUCCAUGCAAGACUUAGACAAGAUCUUUCCAUGCUAAAUGGUCAUAUCUGCAAUCUCAAGACUAAACAAACUUUCUUUCCAAAAAUUGCAGGAUUUGCAAUACUAACAAGAGAAUAUUAUGGAGCGUUGCACCAAUUUCCAGUCCACAGCAGAAGCGGUUACCCCAUAGUUCACUUGAAGACGUAGAAUAAAGAUGAUUCAUUUGCAGCCUGUUUAAUUGAUGGUGUACAACAGGAGAACCCACACAUACAAGGCUCUUGCUACUACAUGAUCUAUGUAAAAGCUCAAGUUCUAAAAUGCUAUAUCAGACGUUUAAUAAAAAACGCAAAUAUGUAGAGAAAGGCCAGACAUUUCAUUCUUGUCCAAUGAAUACACGAGAUCUCUUCUUUACGAUUCUCAUAUGUGUAAGACUCACAAGUUAUAUUUGGCAUCUAUACAGUGCAAUCCAUUUUGGCAUUUUCUGUUUCUAUUACUCUGCAGUCUGUUUACUGUUCUAUCUGUUAAGAAUCCAAAUUUCAAAAUGGUAAAAAAAAUAUGAAAUUCAACAAACAGGUAGCCAGUCUCACGUGACCAGGGAUAGAUUCACAUCGGCAUCUAUGUAGUGCAAGCCAUUUUCCAUCCCUGGUACUAUACUGUCGGCUUACUGUACCUUUAUCUAUCAAUUAUCUGAAUUUUAAAAAUGCAUCAUCCAUUCUCACAUAAGCAUGCAACAGGAAAAAGGUAAGGUUAGAACAAAUAUAUCAUUGGGGAAAAGAAACUACAAAUUCAUUGAUCCAUGCCAGAUACAGAAACAGUCUGCCCUGAAACAAUCUUAGAGCUACAAGAAUAACACAGCAUUUAUAUGCUCAAAUAAUCUACAACAAAUAACAAACUAUUGCAAUGCCACUAGGCCGCUAAGGUGAAUACACAUGAAUCAACUGGCCAAUUACAAGAAGCAAAACUUUUAUGCGGAGAAAAGCAGGAAUUCUAUCAGGAUAUAAAUCUUCAUUAAAAUGUGUCCACCAAACCAUGAUAU